rnacentral:tRNA from 1 species
GGAAGGAUCGCAUAGUGGCCUAGUGCGCACGCUUGGAAAGCGUGUGUCAUCGCAAGAUGACCGUGGGUUCAAAUCCCACUCCUUCCG